UACGGAGGGAGCUAGCGUUAUUCGGAAUUACUGGGCGUAAAGCGCGCGUAGGCGGCUUUGUAAGUUAGAGGUGAAAGCCCGGAGCUCAACUUCGGAAUUGCCUUUAAGACUGCAUCGCUUGAAUCAUGGAGAGGUCAGUGGAAUUCCGAGUGUAGAGGUGAAAUUCGUAGAUAUUCGGAAGAACACCAGUGGCGAAGGCGACUGACUGGACAUGUAUUGACGCUGAGGUGCGAAAGCGUGGGGAGCAAACAGG
rnacentral:rRNA from 1 species